rnacentral:rRNA from 1 species
GAUGAACGCUAGCGGCAGGCUUAACACAUGCAAGUCGAGGGGCAUCAGGCCGCAGCAAUGCGGCGCUGGCGACCGGCGGACGGGUGCGUAACGCGUAUGCAACCUACCUCGAACAGGGGGAUAACCCAUGGAAACGUGGCCUAAUACCCCAUAUUGCCGCCGCGGCCCCUGCCGCGGCGUCGAAAGAUGUAUUUCGGUUCGCGAUGGGCAUGCGUGAUAUUAGCUGGUUGGCGGGGCAACGGCCCACCAAGGCGACGAUAUCUAGGGGAGCUGAGAGGCUUUACCCCCACACUGGUACUGAGAGACGGACCAGACUCCUACGGGAGGCAGCAGUGAGGAAUAUUGGUCAAUGGACGGAAGUCUGAACCAGCCAUGCCGCGUGGAGGAUGACGGCCCUACGGGUUGUAAACUUCUUUUGGCCUGGGGUAAUAAGCGCGGUGCGCCGCGCGAUGAAAGUACAGGUCGAAUAAGCAUCGGCUAACUCCGUGCCAGCAGCCGCGGUAAUACGGAGGAUGCGAGCGUUAUCCGGAUUUAUUGGGUUUAAAGGGUGCGUAGGCUGACGCAUAAGUCAGCGGUGAAACAUGCCGGCUCAACCGGCAGGCUGCCGUUGAUACUGUGCGUCUCGAGUUCGCUCGGCGCAGGCGGAACAUGUCAUGUAGCGGUGAAAUGCAUAGAGAUGACAUAGAACACCGAUCGCGAAGGCAGCUUGCGAGGUCGCAACUGACGCUGAAGCACGAAAGUGUGGGUAUCGAACAGGCUUAGAUACCCUGGUAGUCCACACAGUAAACGAUGAUAACUUGUUGUCGGCGACAGACAGCCGGUGACAAAGCGAAAGCGAUAAGUUAUCCACCUGGGGAGUACGAUCGCAAGGUUGAAACUCAAAGGAAUUGACGGGGGCCCGCACAAGCGGAGGAGCAUGUGGUUUAAUUCGAUGAUACGCGAGGAACCUUACCUAGACUCAAAUGGGAGAGGGAUUGGCGAGAGAUUGCCGAGCCCUUCGGGGCCUCUUCCAAGGUGCUGCAUGGUUGUCGUCAGCUCGUGCCGUGAGGUGUCAGGUUAAGUCCUAUAACGAGCGCAACCCCUACGUCCAGUUGCCAUCGAUCCAAGUCGGGGACUCUGGUCGGACUGCCGGCGCAAGCCGCGAGGAAGGCGGGGACGACGUCAAAUCAGCACGGCCCUUACGUCUAGGGCGACACACGUGCUACAAUGGCCGGCACAGAGGGCAGCCACACCGCGAGGUGGCGCCAAUCCCCAAAGCCGGUCUCAGUUCGGAUUGGAGUCUGCAACCCGACUCCAUGAAGUUGGAUUCGCUAGUAAUCGCGCAUCAGCCAUGGCGCGGUGAAUACGUUCCCGGGCCUUGUACACACCGCCCGUCAAGCCAUGAAAGUCUUGGGUGCCUGAAGUUCGUGACCGCGAGGAGCGACCUAGGGUAAACAAGGUGAUUGGGGCU